rnacentral:lncRNA from 7 species
GAUCCGUUCCAGUGGCAAUAAUUUUAUUUUAAUAUUGUUUAUCACCUAGUAAUUCUGUUUACCCAUGAUACUUGAACUAAAAUUAUCCACAUGAGUUAUGCUACUCCAAGUACUUGAUAACUUCAGAAAUUCAUAAUUAAAUAACCGUAACUCCGAAUUUAGUGAUACUGGUUCCUACGAUCUCGUUACGCAGCGUAGAUUAUUAUUACGCAGUUUGUUCUUAUGUUUGGUGUGAUGUUAAUUUUAUCUAUACCAUGUUUGUUUGUAUUGCUACGACUAGAAGUGAGGUCACGAGGAUCUGAAGAAUCAUCCUGGUACCUGGAAUCUCAAGUGCCAGGCAAGUUGUGCCCUUGAUCACUUUUGUUUACCCAAUAAUGUUCUUUAAUAUCACUUAUUCAUGCAUAGGUUUAAUUUUGAUGGGACCCAAUAGGUCACCCUAGUCUGUUUAUCCUUUUUACCUUGAUUACCCUUGAAUCACUUGGGUAGUUCUGCUAUUGUUUUAUAUGGUUUUGGGUUAAUAUUUCAUUAUAUCCAUGUUCCAAUUAUUUAGUUAUUUUAUUUAUGUUCAUGUCAAGAUCAUAAUUUUUAAUUGGAACAUGGAUCUUAACUUGAGAAACACGUGCCACCACAAGGGAGGAAUGGGACCCCUUGGCUAACUAAUUAGGAAAGCUAGUGGAAGACUACCUUACCCGAAAGGGGCAAGGGCAGUAGGGGAGUUGCAUGCAAGGAGGUUCUCGGGUUGAUUUUGCUGCGAUGGCGGUCAGACGGGGGAUUCUUGCAAGUGCUCUUCCCAUAAACUGUAGCGGGUUUUCGGAAGCUAGUUGAACUUUGUAAAGGCCUCGUAGUGGAUCCCUAGCCAUUCACCUCGGUAGUGUCUAAGGGCCUUGCAAACCCUGGCGACAUGGGAAACAUGACUUGUGGCUACAGGGUACAACCUCUGCAGAGUGUAAAACUGGUAUACUAGCCGAGCUCAUGGUCAAGAGCAGCUCAGAACUCUCACAUGAUUAAUUUAUGUAACUUAAAUUCAAUUUGUCAUUUGCACUUGCAUGGGAUUAUUUAUUAUUUUUGUUCUAUUAUUUAUUAUGGUUUGGUAUUUACUUACACUUAGUAACUGCUAAUAAAAUUUGACCAACUUAUUAAAAGUAGUGCUCAGCUUUAACCCCUAUUGUUGAUCAGCCUUACACAUCACAUGAACUCCAACCAUUGGUGAGUUCAUGCCCACUAUUUUCCCCACAACUUGUUGAGCUCUGAUCACGUGUGAGCUCACUCUUGUUGUCUCACACCCCCACAGGAGAAGAGUAGGUGGUUCAAGAGGAGCCACACCACGAGGAGGUCGAUUUGAUCAAGGUGGCGUCUCCCAGUUGACUUUAUGGCGCCAAGGAUGGACUUUAGUUCGAUCAAUCUUUUAUUUUGUAAAGACUUCCGCUAUGUAAUAAGUACUUUGAUUAUAUUGUGACAUUUAUCUC